rnacentral:rRNA from 1 species
CCUACGGGAGGCAGCAGUCGAGAAUUUUUCUCAAUGGGGGAAACCCUGAAGGAGCGACGCCGCGUGGAGGAUGAAGGCUUUCGGGUUGUAAACUCCUGUCAUUUGGGAACUAGUACCAGAAGAGGAAGAGACGGCUAACUCUGUGCCAGCAGCCGCGGUAAUACAGAGGUCUCAAGCGUUGUUCGGAUUCAUUGGGCGUAAAGGGUGCGUAGGUGGCGCUGUAAGUCAGGUGUGAAAUUUAGGAGCUCAACUUCGAAACUGCAUUUGAUACUGCGGUGCUUGAGGACGGGAGAGGAGACUGGAAUUUACGGUGUAGCAGUGAAAUGCGUAGAGAUCGGAAGGAAGACCAGUGGCGAAGGCGGGUCUCUGGACAGUCCUGACACUGAGGCACGAAGGCCAGGGGAGCAAACGGGAUUAGAUACCCGUAUAGUC